GCAUUGGUGGUUCAAUGAUAAGACUUCUUACCCUCCAUGCAGGAAGCCUGGGUUCGAUUCCUGGCCCAUGCA
rnacentral:tRNA from 1 species